rnacentral:rRNA from 1 species
UACGAAGGGGGCAAGCGUUGUUCGGAAUUACUGGGCGUAAAGGGCGCGUAGGCGGCCGAUCAAGUCAGGCGUGAAAUCCCCAGGCUCAACUUGGGAACUGCGUCUGAUACUGGAUGGCUUGAAUUCGGGAGAGGGAUGCGGAAUUCCAGGUGUAGCGGUGAAAUGCGUAGAUAUCUGGAGGAAUACCGGUGGCGAAGGCGGCAUCCUGGACCGAGAUUGACGCUGAGGCGCGAAAGCCAGGGGAGCAAACGGG